UAACUUGAACGUAAAACAAAAAGCGCGAUUGUACAGAAAACCUAGAAACGCUCCACCGAUUGAAAAUUCACAACCACCGAUUGAAGAUUCACAACCACCGAUAGAAGAUUCACAGCCACAGAAAACCUAGAUUCACAACCAUGGAUUGAAGAUUCACAACCACCAAUUGAAGAUUCACAUCCACAGAAGUUAUUCUCGUCGUUCUUCUGAGUACGUAGACGACGGGAUAUAUUCGAGACUCCGCAUUUGAACCGCGUCGUUGGAUUGCUCCUGGACAAGACUCUAUACAUACUGCUGCUUGUUAAUUUAGAGUUGGUUGAUCUCAUCUCAAGUCAUCUGAGUUGUUUUCUGCAAAGCAUAAUUCAUCUCUGGUUGGACCUAAUUUUGUUGUUCAAAGGCUCACUUCACCACUUCGUACAAAAAAUCGGUAUUCCAUUUGUGCCUUAUAUUUACAACUAGUGAAUCAGCAGUUAAAAUAAAACCAAAUUGUUGGAAAUAUAUAGCCAGAUUGUUGAUAAAUUGUUGGAAAUAUAUAAGCCAAAUUGUUGAUAAAUUGUUGGAACUGAAAUUCUUACAGUUACAGUAGCACGUAGUUAAACAAUUUCAGCUUCACGAAAUCUGUAUUGAAAUGUAUAAAAAAUAUUUGUCUUGGAUAAUUUUUGUUUAGUAUUAUAAAAGAUAAAUAGAUAGAAUUGGUAGCAUCUCUAUUUUUUAGGCUUUCAGUUGCAAAGUGAAAUUUGAACAAAUUGUUGUUCAAAGUGAUUUGAACAAGAAGUUAUA